rnacentral:rRNA from 1 species
CUGGCGGCGUGCCUAAUACAUGCAAGUCGAACGCACUCUCGUUAGAUUGAAGGAGCUUGCUCCUGAUUGAUAAACAUUUGAGUGAGUGGCGGACGGGUGAGUAACACGUGGGUAACCUGCCCUAAAGUGGGGAUAACAUUUGGAAACAGAUGCUAAUACCGCAUAAAACCUAACACCGCAUGGUGUAGGUUGAAAGAUGGUUUCGGCUAUCACUUUAGGAUGGACCCGCGGUGCAUUAGUUAGUUGGUGAGGUAAAGGCUCACCAAGACCGUGAUGCAUAGCCGACCUGAGAGGGUAAUCGGCCACACUGGGACUGAGACACGGCCCCAGACUCCUACGGGAGGCAGCAGUAGGGAAUCUUCCACAAUGGACGAAAGUCUGAUGGAGCAACGCCGCGUGAGUGAAGAAGGUUUUCGGAUCGUAAAACUCUGUUGUUGGAGAAGAAUGUAUCUGAUAGUAACUGAUCAGGUAGUGACGGUAUCCAACCAGAAAGCCACGGCUAACUACGUG